AACGAACGCUGGCGGCAUGCCUAACACAUGCAAGUCGAACGCUUCACCGGGGCUUGCCCUGGUGGGGAGUGGCGCACGGGUGAGUAGCGCGUGGGAACCUGUCCUGUUGUGGGGGAUAACCGAGGGAAACUUCGGCUAAUACCGCAUGCGCCCCGGGGCAACCCGGGGGAAAGAUUUAUCGCAGCAGGAGGGGCCCGCGUCGGAUUAGCUAGUUGGCGGGGUAACGGCCCACCAAGGCAGUGAUCCGUAGCUGGUCUGAGAGGAUGAUCA
rnacentral:rRNA from 1 species